UGCACGGUGGCACAGUUGGUAGCACUGUUGGCUUGCAGCAAAAAGGUCCUGGGUUCAAAUCCCAGUCUGGGGUCCUUCUGCAU